AAUCAAAAAUCAUCCCACAGAUCAAACACCUUCCACAACCAUACCGUGAAAUUUGUAGUAUCUGUAUCAAGAAUCGAUCUUUACCAUUCAUCGGCGCGUCCAUUGAAUCAACCUGCCUGUGCUUGAGUUUGGAACUUGCUUUCACAUUUUUUUUGUUUGUUUUGUUUUCUCUUUUCAUUUUUAGGUGUGCAAGGUGGCAUGAGAUUGAAUUCUUAAGGAUAUAGUUUGAUUGGCACAACUGUUGUCUAUUCAUUACGAAGUAUGCAGAAUUCAUAAUCAAUGGGAGGAUACAUGAAGUGUAGAAGCUAUUGCUCGAACCAACCUGAAGUGUCAACUAUUCAAGUACAAAAAUCAAAGCAAUCUGAAGGAUACAAAAAGUAACUGGGAUUUCGUUGAGACGACCAUUCGGAAGGCGAGGAAGGAAAAGAGUAACACGAAUGCAUAGAAUACAAUCAAAACAACAUGGAGAUUCACGUUUCCCAUUUUCCCAAAACUCCAGUGGAUUAUGGAUACGGAAGCAGGGGCGGAUUUUUUGGUAAUAAAUUAGUUAUUAGUGGGAACAAGACAAAGUAAAAUUGUAUACAGGGAAAGAUUAUAUUUUAUUAGAAAUCCAAUAUCUCGGGUGUAAUUGUAAGACUUGCAGAUUUUUGGAGUUUUUGAAGGAGAUCUUUUUGUACAGUCUAAAAUCUAAACAACAAAAUUUUUCUUUGCUUGCA